CACAAUCUUUCAUUUUCCUCUUCCUCAGUAAGCAUUAUCAAUUCACAUUUUAAACAAGCAAAUCGUAAUUCAUGCCAAACAGACAACAUACAGUAUCAGUUUUUCAGUCAUUCAACCCAUAAUUAAUAAAAACGUAGUAUAUGCACACAAAUCUGUAAAAUGAACACAUCAAACCUCAUUUUGCAUUUAAAGCUGUAAACAUGCCAAAUAACAGUAAAUCACCAAUCACACCAUACUCGGGCUCCAUUAGCCACCUUACGCAAUUUCACAUAUUCGUUAAUUCAAGAAAUAUCGUUUUAUCAUUUUGAACUUUAAUACCGUGAUAGGAAAUAGGGUGAGGGGUCCUUACUUGUUUUCGGGAUCCGAAUACGAUUCACAGUGCACCUACAGGCCGUCCCUAAUUUUUCCUGAAUUUUUCCCGGGGAACUGAAACACACUAACGGUACCUGCACGUGUUCCAAAAAAUCUCAAAUUAGGCUCAGGGCCCCUUUUUGGCCAAUAUCGCAACUCCGGCACGGCGGCUCCGCCGUGCUCCGGCGACGGCGCCGCCGCAAGCGGCGGCGAUUCGCCUCGAGUUGCUGUUUUCGGUCAUUUUCGGCCGAAUUCGGCCACACUCGCAUCGGUCCCUGCGAGAAAACAACCCUAGGGCCCUCGGGGGGCCAAAAAAUCACGGAGAAGCGGAGCUUACCGGCGGCGGCACUCUCGGGUGCGGCGGCUCUCCGGCGAGCGGCAGGCGGCUAGAGUUUGUAGUCUAGUGUGGGGGUUCUAUUUAUAACCCCUUGCCUUUUGAUCUCAGCCGUCCAUUUCGUUUUAAUCUGGGCCGUUCGUUUUUGAUUGAAUCUGGACCGUCCGUGCGAUUGCAUCUGGGCCGUCCGAUCGCGCGAUUGAUCUGGGCCGUCCGAUCGCACCCACGCGGAUCGCCAACGUGGCCCCUUUUCGAAGCGACGUGGUCUUGCCACGUGGCAGGCCCUGGUUGGCCGGGACUGCUGAUCGGGCCUGCUGACGUGGCUGCCGACGUGGCUUUUUUUUUUUUUUUUUUCGGUCCGGGCGCUACAAGUUCCAUGUAAUUACUUGUAAAUAA
rnacentral:lncRNA from 1 species